AAUUUCAAUCAGUCGUGUCCAAUU
rnacentral:miRNA from 1 species